AACGCACAUUGCGCCUCUCUCUCGAGAGGCAUGCCUGUCUGAGCGUCAUUUAAAUCAAAUGAGACUUUAGUCUCGUGUUGGGCAUCGCCUUUGGGCGUAGCCUCGAUGCCAUCGGUCUAAUGAGUGGGCGAGUUCCUUUAGGACGGACCAUUCGUGGCCUGAAGACUUCUGACUUGACCUCAGAUCAGGUAGGACUACCGCCUGAACUUAA
rnacentral:misc_RNA from 1 species